UACACACCGCCCGUCACACCAUGGGAGUCGUUUGCUCCAGAAAUGCCUACGCCAACCCGCAAGGGAGGCAGGGUCUCAAGGAGUGAACGGUAACUGGGGUG
rnacentral:rRNA from 1 species